CCGAAGUCAGUGACCUAACCGCAAGGGAGGAGCUGCCGAAGGCGGGACCGAUGACUGGGGUGAAGUCGUAACAAGGUAGCCGUAUCGGAAGGUGCGGCUGGAUCACCUCCUUUCUAAGG
rnacentral:rRNA from 1 species